CAGUAGCCACGGGAAUACGUAGGGUGCGAGCGUUAAUCGGAAUUACUGGGCGUAAAGCGCGCGCAGGCGGUUCGUUAAGACAGAUGUGAAAUCCCCGGGCUUAACCUGGGAACUGCAUUUGUGACUGGCGAGCUAGAGUAUGGCAGAGGGGGGUAGAAUUCCACGUGUAGCAGUGAAAUGCGUAGAGAUGUGGAGGAAUACCGAUGGCGAAGGCAGCCCCCUGGGCCAAUACUGACGCUCAUGCACGAAAGCGUGGGGAGCAAACAGGAUUAGAUACCCCCGUAGUCCCUGUCUCUUAUAC
rnacentral:rRNA from 1 species